ACUGGGCUGGAAUUCCGGGGGUCACCGUCCCUGCAGGUCCUCUGGGGUGCUGGGGGGGUGACUGGGCUGGAAUUCUGGGGGUCCCCAUCCCUCCAGGUCCUUCGGGGUGACUGGGAGACAACUGGAAUUCCGGGGGGUCACUGUCCCUCCAGGUCCCUCUGAGGAGCCGGAGGGGUGACUGGGAGACAACUGGGCUGGAAUUCCAGGGGUCCCCAUCCCUCCAGGUCCUUUGGGAUGCUGGGGGGGUGACUGGGAGACAACUGGGCUGGAAUUCUGGGGGUUUCCAUCCCACCAGGUCCUCUGGGGUGCUGGGGGGGUGACUGGGUUGGAAUUCUGGAGGUCCCCAUCCCUCCAGGUCCUUUGGGGUGACUGGGAGACAACUGGGCUGGAAUUCCGGGGGGUCACCGUCCCUGCAGGUCCUCCGGGGUGCUGGGAAGGGCUGGGAUCCCGGAAUUCCCGCGUGGGAAGAGGCAGGAGAAGGUCAGGUUCACAUUAGCACACGUCAAGGUCCAUAGUGCAAAUCGGGCUCCACAGGUUUUCGGGGGGGGCACGGGGGUGACCUGUGGGCAGGGGACGGUCCUCGGGGUCCCCCCGGUGCCCCCAAAGCCCCCCCGUGCCCGUGGCCGUGGCACUGCCACGCUCCGGAGGAAGGGGAGCCGGGAAUUCUUUGGAGGAGACGCAGGGAGCCCAUCCCUGCUCGGCCCGGGCGGGAGGGGAGCUCCGGGAGCAGAACCACAACUGUCCAUCCCGACGGCCAGCCCUUCCCUGGGGAGGGACCCCGGGAGAAGGAUCCACCCCUUCCCAUGGCCAGGGGAUCCCAGGACAAGGAUCCACCCCUUCCCAUGGCCUGGGAGAUCUUGGGAGAAGGAUCCACCCCUUCCCAUGGCCAGGGGAUCCCAGGACAAGGAUCCACCCCUUCCCAUGGCCAGGGAGAUCUUGGGAGAAGGAUCCACCCCUUCCUAUUGCCAGGGGGAUCCCAGGAGAAGGAUCCACCCCUUCCCAUGGCCAGGGGAUCCCAGGACAAGGAUCCACCCCUUCCCAUGGCCAGGGAGAUCUUGGGAGAAGGAUCCACCCCUUCCCCAGGAGAAGGAUCCCCCCUUUCCUAUAGCCAGAGAGAUCCCAGGAGAAGGAUCCACCCCUUCCCGUGACCUGGGAGAUCCCGGGAUCUGCGUCCAUGUGCCCCCUCAGCCAGAGGGGUUUUUUUGGGGCCCGGCUUUGGGGCCCCAGUGCGGGGCUGGGAGGGAGCUCCUGCUCCUCCCUCGCUCCCCAGCCCGGGACACGGCGGGAAUUGUCCCUUCCAGGAGUCCAGGAGCCCUUCCCUGGCGUCGGGCGGGGAGGAUGAGGAGGCGAAGGGGGAGAAGGGAGGAAGGGCAGGUCCUGGAGCAGGGGACGGUCCCUCUGUCACGGGGCCAUCGGCUCCU
rnacentral:lncRNA from 1 species